GCCUGCCCAGCUCUGAUCAGCACAAAGGAAAGAAAGGGGAACAUACGAGUCACAGGGAGAACCCGCAGUGCAUAGAUGAGUAUAUGAAGUAACUGGAAAUCUCUCAUCCCCCCCACGGGACCCCCAACUUGGCAAAUCUGAGCAGCAGGAUAAGCGAUUGGUCGGCUGAAGCGGAUAUAGGACUUUUUUUCAGUAAUAUGAUUGGCCGCUGUCGAGAACAUUAAUCAGCAGUCGCAACCAGAAUCCAUGACCAGAGUCUGUACUUCCUUCCGAAAGUCACAUUAUUAUAACUCUCUUGCACCAUCUGUGCGGUAACAACUCCUCCGAGUACAGCGGCUUAUGAUGUAACAUUCAGUCGCAACUGGGAAGUCUGAGAAAGUCCUUGUUUUAACAAUUUCCCGUGCUAUUAAAUGAACUGUUCCCCUUUAAAUUAACUUUUAGUAUGCUAUAAAUAAUGCUUUUCUGAGACAACUUGCAA